rnacentral:sRNA from 1 species
UUUUUUUUUUUUGAGAUGGAGUCUUGCUCCCUAGCCCAGGCUGGAGUGCAGUGGUGCGAUCAACGCUCACUGCAAGCUCCGCCUCCCAGGUUCACACCAUUCUCCUGCCUCAGCCUCUCGAGUAGCUGGGACUACAGGCGCCCGCCACCACACCGGGCUAAUUUUUUGUAUUUUUAGGAGAGACGAGAUUUCACCGUGUUAGCCAGCAUGCUCUCCAUCUCUUGACCUCGUGAUCCACCCUCCUCGGCCUCCCAAAGUGCUGGGAUUACAGGUGUCAGCCACCACGCCCGGCCGAGUGAACUCUUAUAUUACAUAAGAGUUCACUGAAAUUUGAGGUUUGGCAGCCCAGGUUUGCGCUAUUCAGUUACUUGGAGUCUGAAGUGUUGUUUUUGUUAGGUAACAAAUCGGAAGUACCCAAAACUGAAAGAGGUGGAUGAUGUGCUUGGUGGAGCAGCUGCCUGGGAGAAUGUUGACUCUACUGCAGAGCCGUGUCCCAAAUGUGAACAUCCUCGUGCUUACUUCAUGCAGCUUCAGACCCGCUCUGCAGAUGAGCCGAUGACCACCUUCUACAAGUGCUGCAAUGCUCAGUGUGGACACCGCUGGAGGGAUUAGGGCAGGAUGGCCCAGCUGCCUUAGUGUGUGCUUACCUUGUCCCUCGGGGUAGAUGCUUAGCUGGCAGUGUGAAUCCUGUGUCCUGAGGGUCUUUGCUGGUGUGGUGGAAAGAUAAACCUUUUGAGGUGAAAAGCUGGGGGGUCAGGAAAUAUGGCCUAUCUGCCAGGCAGGGUGGAUGAAGUCAUGAAUGUCU